GGUAUUUACAUAUCUUGGGGAGAUUUAGAGCAUAAACUCCAAGAUCUUGGGUAUUUAAGUGUCAGCAUCGAUUUAUUUAUUUAUUGCUGAGCUGACUGUAACGGACUCAAUAACAAAUCUAAUCAUGUAUUACCCUGGAAAUAUUCUUAUGUAUUUUCUCCAAAGAAUGGCUCACCAUUGCAUUUGAAUGCCCGCUAUAAAUAUCCAUCAUAUCGAGUAAAUUACU
rfam:Ochotona princeps cont2.55295, whole genome shotgun sequence.